rnacentral:rRNA from 1 species
GUGGGGAAUAUUGGACAAUGGGCGCAAGCCUGAUCCAGCCAUGCCGCGUGAGUGAUGAAGGCCCUAGGGUUGUAAAGCUCUUUCACCGGAGAAGAUAAUGACGGUAUCCGGAGAAGAAGCCCCGGCUAACUUCGUGCCAGCAGCCGCGGUAAUACGAAGGGGGCUAGCGUUGUUCGGAAUUACUGGGCGUAAAGCGCACGUAGGCGGACAUUUAAGUCAGGGGUGAAAUCCCGGGGCUCAACCCCGGAACUGCCUUUGAUACUGGGUGUCUGGAGUAUGGAAGAGGUAAGUGGAAUUCCGAGUGUAGAGGUGAAAUUCGUAGAUAUUCGGAGGAACACCAGUGGCGAAGGCGGCUUACUGGUCCAUUACUGACGCUGAGGUGCGAAAGCGUGGGGAGCAAACAGGAUUAGAUACCCUAGUAGUCC